UACGUAGGGUGCGAGCGUUAAUCGGAAUUACUGGGCGUAAAGCGUGCGCAGGCGGUGGCUCAAGCCAGAUGUGAAAGCCCCGGGCUCAACCUGGGAACUGCAUUUGGGACUGCAAGGCUGGAGUACGGCAGAGGGAGGUGGAAUUCCACGUGUAGCAGUGAAAUGCGUAGAGAUGUGGAGGAACACCGAUGGCGAAGGCAGCCUCCUGGGCUAGUACUGACGCUCAUGCACGAAAGCGUGGGGAGCAAACAGG
rnacentral:rRNA from 1 species